rnacentral:rRNA from 1 species
UACAGAGGGGGCAAGCGUUGUUCGGAAUUACUGGGCGUAAAGGGCGCGUAGGCGGCCUGUUAAGUCGAACGUGAAAUCCCCGGGCUCAACCCGGAACUGCGUCCGAUACUGGCAGGCUUGAAUCCGGGAGAGGGAUGCGGAAUUCCAGGUGUAGCGGUGAAAUGCGUAGAUAUCGAGAGGAACACCUGCGGCGAAGGCGGUUGCUGGGCUGACACGUGACGCUGAGGCGCGAAAGCUAGGGAGCGAACGGG